rnacentral:rRNA from 1 species
UGGGGAAUUUUGGACAAUGGGGGCAACCCUGAUCCAGCAAUGCCGCGUGAGUGAAGAAGGCCUUCGGGUUGUAAAGCUCUUUUGUCCGGGAAGAAAUCCCCUGGGAUAACACCUCGGGGGGAUGACGGUACUGGAAGAAUAAGCACCGGCUAACUACGUGCCAGCAGCCGCGGUAAUACGUAGGGUGCGAGCGUUAAUCGGAAUUACUGGGCGUAAAGCGUGCGCAGGCGGUUUUCCAAGACAGAUGUGAAAUCCCCGGGCUCAACCUGGGAAUGGCAUUUGUGACUGGAAGGCUAGAGUGUGUCAGAGGGGGGUAGAAUUCCACGUGUAGCAGUGAAAUGCGUAGAGAUGUGGAGGAAUACCGAUGGCGAAGGCAGCCCCCUGGGAUAACACUGACGCUCAUGCACGAAAGCGUGGGGAGCAAACA